AACCUAUCAACAGCCAAACGCAUUUGCAAAACUUUCGGCUUCGACGAGUCGCCACCUCACCGGCCUCCCCAGUCGCCAACCGGCUGGGUAGACUCGGUCGAUUCCGAGCUCGCUUCUAGGGUUUUCAUCCUCCUCUCUGAAUGGUGUCUUGAUGUCUUCGAUUUCGGCGGUCGAUCGUCUUUCGUUGAUGAAGAACGUGUUUCCGAUUGAGCAAUUGCCUGAGUGGGUUAGGCUUUUGCUUCAGAACGAGCGAGAUUGCCGAGUUUUGGCGGAUUUGUGUCCCUUGUGUAAAGGUAGGAUCAAGGAAGAUUCAAUUAAGGGUUCGUUUCAAGUUCAAUUGACUGCGUUUGAGUAUUUCAUUUUCUGGUUUGCUUAUUACUCUGUAUGCAGAGGAAAUAGUGAGAAUUCUGGUACUGUGAGGGUUCGGAGGUGUCGAAAGUUUCGAUUGGGGAUUGGGCUUCUUCACUUCCAGGAUUAUCGAGCAAUAAGCGUGGUGGGUCAGAGCAGAAAGUUGAGUGUGGUUUGUAUUUACGCCUUCUUUAUUCAUAUCUUCGUGCAUUUGUGCCAAUUUUUGUUAAUACACACCAACCUUAUCGUAGCUCGCUUCUACAUUACAAUUCGAGUUAUGAUAAUUCUGUUGUUGAUCAAGCCAAGUUCAUUGUUAAUACCCUGAAACACUUUUGGUUGAUCGAUAGCGAGUUCUCACCCGUACCUGUAAAUGUAUGCAAAUCAUUCAGAGGGUCAUUUCCUUUUCGUUCGGUUCUUGGCGAGACUCCACCCAUUUCCGGGUUGGGAGAGGUUGUCAAUUUGUUUGUGAAGUAUCUGGAUUUGAGUUCAGUUGCGUUUACUGAAGUGUCUGAUCAAGUUGAAUAUAGUGAGAGUCCUGGUAUCAAGAUCUUCGGAUGGUUUUAAGUCAAGGAAUGCUAUGUCAGUAACUUCUGGUGUGGAUUCUAUUGCUUGUUGGAACUCACGGAUUCAGAGGCCAUUGCACCAGUUCGUAUUGAGGACGAUUUUGUUUUUGCCAUUGCACCAGUUCGUUCGUUUACUGAAUGCAUCUCAGGUGUCCUCUGUUUGGAUUAGUUAUAUGGAACCUUGGACAAUCAGCUUGGAAGAUUUAAGGAGCUAGAGGCAGUUGUUGGUACAUCGGCUAAAAAUACAACAAAGGUGAACCCCCAAUCUUCAGCAUGUGGAGAUGGCAGGCCUUUGUAUUGACCAAUUAUCUGUUCUACAGUUCCUUGGUUAUGCAUUUUGUUUGGAUUCGCACACAAGUUCCUUCACACAGAUCCAGAAGUAAUCGUGCAAAUGGUAUCAAAGGAGAACCAAUAACUCUUAACUGCAAAACCCACCUUUUAGAAAGCAAUUGACAAAGAAAGUAGAGAAGAUGACUCCCAGCUUUUGGACAUGUUCUCACUUAUCACUAUCAUCAGUAUUUCUCCUUUUUUCUCAAUAGAAGGUUAUCAGAAGCUUAAAUGUGUUCAUGUCACAAGAGUGCAUAUAAUUCAUUAAAAAUUGAUGAUAUUUGCACUCUUGUUGAGAAAUUCUAUCCUCAAGAUUUCACAGAGCAAGAAAGAAUUCAUUUGAAAUUUCAGUUGCAACACUUUGAGCUUGAUGUGCCUCAUCAUCCGGAUUUACAAAAUCUCUCCACAAUUUUUGAACUAUGCUGGGGGUUAGUUGAAACGGGAAAGUCAAAAACUUACCAUUUGGUUCAUAGAUUGAUUCUUCUCAUAUUGACACUUCCUGUUUCAACCGCUACUACAGAAAGGGCAUUUUCAGUAAU